rnacentral:lncRNA from 1 species
UAAAACAUACGAAGGAAAGGUUCGACUAAAGUUCAGUUGUCCCAUAUAUCAUUUGUAAAUUUGAAUGGCUGUGAUUUAUUUUCCUUUUUUUCUCUUUUUAUUAUUUCUUUUUCAAUUUACCCUUUAAUUCUCAUGUUCUCUCUCUUCUUCUUCCCUUCGUUCUCUACUCGCAUGGCCUACGACGAACACUUCAUCAUACCGUUAAAAUUCUUUUUGUUUCUCCUUUCUCGUUCCCUUCUCUUUUACUCCGACCACCACACUCCGCUUUGGGAAGUGAUUUCUGGCAACCAUCCCCUUUCUCCUCCCUUUUUUCUUUUCCCCCCUCUUCUUCCUUAUCCCACAACAACAGAUGGUGACCAUCGCAAUGAUGCACCAUGCACCGCCACCCCACAAAU